AUAAAUUUCCAGGAAUCAAACUCCGUUCGAAGGCGACUUUACUUUUUCUUUAGCCUCUGGGCGUGUCUCAGCUUUGUUCCUGGGUCGGCAGAAGCCUUGAAAGUAAGCAUGCCAACUCAGAAGACAGCAAUCUUGGGUACAAAUGUGACACUUCCGUGUAAAAUCUCUGACUACCCUCCCCCAGAACUGGAUAUCAAAAUAACAAUAUUCAUCUGGUAUUUGGAGACAUCUGAAGGGAAUAAAGUAGAACUUUAUUCAGUUGUUGCUGGAAAACAAUCUUCAAAUAGAAAUGGUUCAAGACUGGAUAUAAUUCAAUUAAAAAAUGGAGAUGCUUCCCUUUUCCUUCCACAAAUACAACUUCACGAAGAGGGCAAAUAUAUGUGUCGUGAUUGCUGCCUCUGUUAAAGCUGAAGGAGCCACCACUUUAGAUCUAGUUGUUGAACCAACUGUCCAACUGUCUCCCAAGGAACUUGAAAUUGAAAACGGAAAUGUAAAGACACUGAGAUGUAGAGUGAAUAAAUUCUAUCCUGAUUCCAUUGUCAUUCUUUGGCAAAAGCAUUCUAAGCACACGUUGGAUAAAGAUAUACCUGUAGAUGAUAUUUUCAUGGGAACAUCUGUGAGAAAUGGUGAUGGCACUUACAACACCACCAGUAAACUGAGACUUCAACCAUCUUCACAA